rnacentral:rRNA from 1 species
UACGAUGGGGGCUAGCGUUGUUCGGAUUUACUGGGCGUAAAGCGCACGUAGGCGGAUCUUUCAGUCAGGGGUGAAAUCCCAGGGCUCAACCCUGGAACUGCCUUUGAUACUGUCGAUCUGGAGUAUGGAAGAGGUGAGUGGAAUUCCGAGUGUAGAGGUGAAAUUCGUAGAUAUUCGGAGGAACACCAGUGGCGAAGGCGGCUCACUGGUCCAUUACUGACGCUGAGGUGCGAAAGCGUGGGGAGCAAACAGG